GCACAAUAUAUAUAUAUAUAUAUAUAUAGUUGAGCUAGAAUGCUAUCGGUAGUAAACGAGCCGUUUUACUACCGAUUUGUUUUCGAUGAUAGAACUUUCAAAUUGACGAUCGGCUCCGUUGAACAUGAUCUAUACCACUUGAAGUGUUUAGAAAUCAAUUUUCAAAUCUUUUCGACAUCAUUUGCCUAAUGAUCAAAGGGUUUCAAAAUUUAUAAUUUUAAUGGUCGAUAAAAGGCGUUUUCUUGUUUAACGGCUAAAGAUAUCCAAAUCAAUUGAAUUUUUGUUAGAAAAUUCUUUAAAUUAUUUAAAACAAGAUCUAUACUCUUGAUCUUGAUUACAAGACUCCUAUCAUCAUUUUUUAAAGAGUAUUCAUUUUCUGUUUUCAUGAUGGUAAAAGACAAUAUCGAAAGUGGUGAAUUGAUUUCUAUGUCGUUUUAAAUGGUUUAGAUAUAUUAACGGAGCGCACGUCAAUUUGAAAGCUCUAUCAUUCAAAACAAAUCGGUAGUAAAACGGCUCGUUAUACGAAUAGUAGCUCAUCUCCUCUCGGUCUAUCUCCUCUCUCUCUUUCUCUCUUUCUUAUAAUAUAUAUAUAUAUAUAUAUAUAAUUGAGCUCCUAUAUUUUUAAAAGUACCAAGUUAUUGGUGCUUGUAGAUUUUUAGCCAUUGGAUUAAGAGAUAUGCGGUUAGAAUGAUGUGGCCUCCCUAGGGUUGAGUGGGUGGUUGGUUGAAUAGUAUAAUCUAAUGGUUGAAAAUGAUCUGAGAAGUAGAUCUAACGGUAAAAAACUUAAGUAAGUUAAUUCCAUUCAACACCUUGUUUU
rnacentral:lncRNA from 1 species